rnacentral:lncRNA from 1 species
CAGGUCAUUCAACAUUUAUUCAACCAAAAAUACUAAGUCAGCUCUAUACAAACUAAUGGAAGGAUACAGCUAUGCAAAUAUAGAACACUAAAGUGUUACAUGACAGAUGUAUGAGGGGAAGAGUGCUGGAUUCAGAGCCCACCUCAGGGGAAGACAGGACCCUCUCCAAGAUGGUUUCCCUAGAAGCUACUACCUCUCCCUGGAGGGUGGAGAUAUUUGCUGGUCAAAGCAAGAAGGCCCUCUGCAGAUGCUGACACCUUGAUAUUGGACUUCCCAGAUUCCAGAACUCUGAGAAAUAAAUUUCUAUUUUAAAUAAAUUACCCAGUCUGUGAUAUUCUGUUAUAGCAACACAAAAUGGACUUAGACGGUAUGCUAAUGAGAUGACUGCUGGCAGGGAGCUCUGAAAUAACUUUAGGAUAGGGGCUGGUUACUACAAAAACAAAGGCAUGUUUAGUGGGUUGGGACUUUCAGCCUAUACCUCAACCUCUGGGGAGGGGAGAGGGCCUGAAGUUUGAGUUGAUCACUAAUGGCCAAUGAUGUAAUCAAUCAUGCCUGUGUAAUGAAGGCUUUACAGAAAACCAAACAGGGUUUGCAGACUUUCUUGAUUGCUGAACACAUGGAGGUUCCUGGAGGGUGGUGUGCCCAGAGAGGUCAUGGAAGCUCCAUGCCCCUUCUCCAAUACCUCACCAGAUGCAUCUCUCUCAUCUGGAUGUUCAUCUCUAUCCUUUGUAAUAUCCUUCGUAGUAAAUGGUCAAACUUAAGUAAAGUGUUUCCCUGAGUUCUGUGAGCCACUUUAGCAAAUUAAUUGAGCCUAAGGCGGGGGGUCAUGAGAGUCCCAAUGUAUAGCCAGUUGAACAGAAGCACAGGUCGCAACCUGAGGCUUGCAAUUACCAUCUGUAGUGUUGGGUGGGGGGAACAGGCUUGUGGGAUCUGACACUGUCUCCCAGUAGAUAGUGUCAGAAUUGAAUUGAUUUUUAGGGCAUGCAGUCGGUGUCCAUUGCAGAUUGCUAGGUGUGUGGGGAAAAACCUCAACGUAUCUGUUGUUAGAAGUAAAUUGUUGAGUGACUGUGUGAGUAUAAGCAAAGGAGUAGGAAAAGCACCUUUGGUUUUUUCAAUAUUUUAGAGAAUCCAGAUGUCUUGGCUCUGAGCCAGUCAUCUGAGGACCAAACCAGGCCGUGCCUAGUAGUGAACCUCUUCUCUUGACCCAACAAGAUUACAAAAAUUAAAAACAAACGAAUAAACAGAGACAGGUCAAAAAAAGUAAACAAAAACCAAAACAGCAAGUCAAAUGAAAGCAGGGCUCUUAAUCAAAGUUCAUCAAGAAGGUAAGAAAAAU